rnacentral:rRNA from 1 species
CGCACGGGUGCGUAACACGUAUAGAACCUACCCAUAACAGGGGGAUAGCCCAGAGAAAUUUGGAUUAAUACCCCAUAGUGUAUUAAUGAGGCAUCUCAUUUUUAUUAAAGAUUUAUCGGUUAUGGAUGGCUAUGCGUCCUAUUAGUUUGUUGGUGAGGUAAUGGCUCACCAAGGCUACGAUAGGUAGGGGUUCUGAGAGGAAUGUCCCCCACACUGGUACUGAGACACGGACCAGACUCCUACGGGAGGCAGCAGUGAGGAAUAUUGGACAAUGGGCGCAAGCCUGAUCCAGCCAUGCCGCGUGCAGGAAGAAGGCUUUCUAGUUGUAAACUGCUUUUAUUCACGAGGAAUAUGUCCCUUGCGAGGGAUUUUGACGUUAGUGUUUGAAUAAGCACCGGCUAACUCCGUGCCAGCAGCCGCGGUAAUACGGAGGGUGCAAGCGUUAUCCGGAAUCAUUGGGUUUAAAGGGUUCGU